UUAACCGUAUAGGGGAGCCGUAGGGAAACCGAGUCUUAACCGGGCGUUAAGUUGCAGGGUAUAGACCCGAAACCCGGUGAUCUAGCCAUGGGCAGGUUGAAGGUUGGGUAACACUAACUGGAGGACCGAACCGACUAAUGUUGAAAAAUUAGCGGAUGACCUGUGGCUGGGGGUGAAAGGCCAAUCAAACCGGGAGAUAGCUGGUUCUCCCCGAAAGCUAUUUAGGUAGCGCCUCGUGAACUCAUCUCCGGGGGUAGAGCACUGUUUCGGCUAGGGGGCCAUCCCGGCUUACCAACCCGAUGCAAACUGCGAAUACCGGAGAAUGUUAUCACGGGAGACACACGGCGGGUGCUAACGUCCGUCGUGAAGAGGGAAACAACCCAGACCGCCAGCUAAGGUCCCAAAGUCAUGGUUAAGUGGGAAACGAUGUGGGAAGGCCCAGACAGCCAGGAUGUUGGCUUAGAAGCAGCCAUCAUUUAAAGAAAGCGUAAUAGCUCACUGGUCGAGUCGGCCUGCGCGGAAGAUGUAACGGGGCUAAACCAUGCACCGAAGCUGCGGCAGCGACGCUGAUGCGUUGUUGGGUAGGGGAGCGU
rnacentral:rRNA from 1 species